rnacentral:rRNA from 1 species
GGUGCUGGAUUGGCAGUCUUCCAGAGUUGCUAGGAAGAAGAAGAUGGGUAAGCUCCUCUUUCUCUUCUAUUGACUAGCUUGAUUUAGUUUCCAGCAGCAGAAAAUAGUGUAUGAGACCUGUUCGUGUCUGUCAGUCAAGAUUAGAGUUGUAGCCCUGUCUCCAACUACAUGUUGAAUACUAACAAUUUUGCUGGAAAAAGAAGAAAGAUUGAAUCAUAGUUUGCACUAAAUGAAAAUGAAGUUUCAUUUUUACAUUUUGUUCACUCACUGGGAGGGUCACUGUUUAUAUGCUUGCUUCACCUUUUUCUGUAUCACCAUGGAAAUCAUUUGUACAUGAGCUCUGGAACAAGGAAAACAAUAAUCACAAGGAGGCUUAAUAAGGUAUGUCCAAAGUAAUCGUGGUUCCUCUACAUAUGGAAAUGAUAAAUCAUAGAACUGUUUGCAGAUAUAUUUCAGUUCACCCAUAACAGAUUCUGAUAUAUUUUUCUGUAUGUGAGAUAUAACCAUAUUCUUAUUUCACUACUAAUAUUACUGCCUAAUUCUACAUAUCAGUUGUAUCGCGCUACUCUGCUAAUACUCUAGAUUCUGGAGGAUCUUCUGUUUUUAGGUUAUUGUUAUCUUCCAGCCUUUAUCAUACAUUCUUCUUGUCCAAUUGUAUUGAUACCAAAAAUAAUUGAGAAAGCAUGAAAUGGAAUAUAUUGUUUUUGAUGGACUGGACCAUAAGGGGAGUAUUUUCUGACGGAACAUGUGCUUUAUCUUAGUGUCAACCAUCAAAGGUUUAUUGCGACGGAUAGAGAAGAAAAGGCAUGCCAUAAUAUCAUAAGCCUGAUGUAAACACAGAUAUGGUUCUAUUUCAGCUUCUGUAAACGCUUCGAAUUCCAAAACUCUGGUACCUCUGAGUGACUAUACACAUGUAUACAUUCGGUAGAAAACUAUGCUACCUCUGAGUUAUAUUGAUAAUGCGCGUAAUUGGUAGUAGCUCUGCCUAGGGUGGUUGGCUUGCUACUGACUGGGGGCAGCAACAGUGUGCAUUCGUGCUAGCUCUUCCUCCCCCAAUUACAAUGGUUGAAAUUGAGGGAACCUGGGCUGCUUUUGCUGUUGGUUGGGAGGACGAGCUGCACCGCGCAUUCAUGUUACCCCCAACCCCCACAACCCCACCCCCAUUAUUUUUGUGGUUCAGCUGGGGGACCAGACAGUGGUUUGUGUUCUGCUUUUAGAUCCUGGGUACCAAUGUAUUUAUAUUUAGUAUAUUAAAAUUGAGUGUCACCUUCUCAAGUUAAAUUGUUAUUACUUUUAGGCACCUCCUUCACCCAGCCGCUCCAUUGGGAUCCUGCUGCAGUCCUCGCCGCCACCUUCUCCUUCGCCCAGCUGGCCGCGCCCCCUUUCUUUGCAGCUUGACAUAAAGAUUAGCAUGUGUGUGUGUCCUGCGGUUUGAGAGGGACAAAAUAGGAGGUCACCAUGAAAUGUCGAAAGAGAAAGGGAGGCCGUAAGAGUGGAUCGUUCAUUUGUCAUUGGUUUCUCAUCACUUAUCCAAUACUUUCUUUGUUGCUAUCUUCUGAUGAUAUACUGACUUGCUAUAUGUAUAUUCUCAAUAUGUAAAUACGUAAGGGAGUGGAUACCAGUAUAUUACUCUUUCCGUCCAUAUAAUCAGAUUGCUGUUUGUCAAUUUUAUAAAAUUCUUUGGAUUUGCUCAAUAUGUGGCAUGUACCUAGGACCAUUCACUCCAAUGUGGUAUGAGAACAUUUAUUUUCUAAUUGUUCUUGGUUUGAUGUCAAGGCGUACUCAUUCUUGUAAUCUAUGUGGCUUUUUCAGAAACAGUAUGUUCCAAGAAGUUUAUUCAAGAGAGCUGGGCAUAUAGUUGUGUCAUGACUGCCAAUGCCCUACAGGAUGGCUUGGUUGAUGCAAUCCGUGUAUCCCUCAUAGAUCCACUUGGAACUCAUGCUGCAGGCCAUCAAUUAGGUGUGGAUAACCAUACUCAAGUCUGGUAGUGCGAUGGCUCCUGUGGAACUAAUCUCUGCACAAUUUGUUUCAAUGAGCACCCAGACCGCCCUGAUUGACCAGGCUCAAGGCAUGCCGUCGGCUCCUGUGCCCUCCUACUCCGACACCGCAGUGGGCGCGUCAAUGGCUGGAGCAGAGGAGGAGAUCCAGGCGGAGCGCGCCAUCUCCAUCGUCGUAUCUGUUGCUGCGUCCCUCGAUCUAUAUGUGUUCUUUUCCUGACCAUCCCAGUUGUGGUUGCCUGGAGCUCAUCCUUGAUUUGCUCUUUUUCCCUUGCAGGUUGGUCAGCUGCGGGUGCUGGUGCUUCUGGUCGAUUUGUCCUGCUGCGUCGGCCAUUGUUCUGUAGCUUGCAUCUGCAGUACAUUAUCAAAGAAACUGAAUCUGGAAGGUUAAGACAUUAGACAUCUAUUGAGAGUUAAUGAAAUUUAACACCUGAAGACUGCUGCCCAUACAACGAUGAAGAUGCCAUCUCCAACUAGAACAGUAUCAGCCUACUUGGACAUCGACUGGUCGCCAGUUGAACCAGCAACCAGCAGCCGACAUCAGCGAUUCAGCCGACAUCAAAUAUAUACCAAAUCAAAUCAAACACUACAAAGAUAUAUUUGAUUUGUAUGCCCUAUAUUAAACUCAGCUGUCCUGGGCAGCAUCUAUCUCUUGCUCUUGAUAUAUCUUUGUAGUGUUUGUGAUAUAUAUUGAACACAUUUAUUUCGAGCGGUUAUUCUAUUUGUAUGUUCUCAAAUGCUUUGUUAUAUUGAAGUUUUAAAUGGUGGGUCAUCGUGCUCAGCCAGGCAACGCGCGC